AUUGAACGCUGGCGGCAUGCUUUACACAUGCAAGUCGAACGGUAACAGGCCGCAAGGUGCUGACGAGUGGCGAACGGGUGAGUAAUGCAUCGGAACGUGCCCAGUCGUGGGGGAUAACGCAGCGAAAGUUGCGCUAAUACCGCAUACGAUCUAUGGAUGAAAGCGGGGGACCGCAAGGCCUCGCGCGAUUGGAGCGGCCGAUGUCAGAUUAGGUAGUCGGUGGGGUAAAGGCUCACCAAGCCGACGAUCUGUAGCUGGUCUGAGAGGACGACCAGCCACACUGGGACUGAGACACGGCCCAGACUCCUACGGGAGGCAGCAGUGGGGAAUUUUGGACAAUGGGCGCAAGCCUGAUCCAGCAAUGCCGCGUGCAGGAAGAAGGCCUUCGGGUUGUAAACUGCUUUUGUACGGAACGAAACGGUCCUGGUUAAUACCCGGGGCUAAUGACGGUACCGUAAGAAUAAGCACCGGCUAACUACGUGCCAGCCGCCGCCGUAAAAC
rnacentral:rRNA from 1 species